GCAGCAGCCACGGUAAUACGUAGGGGGCAAGCGUUAUCCGGAAUUACUGGGUGUAAAGGGAGCGUAGACGGUUAAACAAGUCUGAAGUGAAAUGCCGGGGCUCAACCCCGGAGCUGCUUUGGGAACUGUAGAACUGGAGUGUCGGAGGGGUAAGCGGAAUUCCCAGUGUAGCGGUGAAAUGCGUAGAUAUUGGGAGGAACACCGGCGGCGAAGGCGGCUUACUGGACGACAACUGACGUUGAGGCUCGAAGGCGUGGGUAGCAAACAGGAUUAGAUACCCCUGUAGUCCCUGUCUCUUAUAA
rnacentral:rRNA from 1 species